rnacentral:rRNA from 1 species
CCUACGGGAGGCAGCAGUGAGGGAUAUUGGUCAAUGGGGGAAACCCUGAACCAGCAACGCCGCGUGAGGGAAGACGGUUUUCGGAUUGUAAACCUCUGUCCUCUGUGAAGAUAAGGACGGUAGCAGAGGAGGAAGCUCCGGCUAACUACGUGCCAGCAGCCGCGGUAAUACGUAGGGAGCAAGCGUUGUCCGGAUUGACUGGGCGUAAUGGGGGAGUAGUGGGGCCUACAAGUCAGGAGGGAAAUCCAUGGGCUUAACCCGUGAACUGCUUUUGAAACUGUAGGGUUUGAGUGAAGUAGAGGCAGGCGGAAUUCCCGGUGUAGCGGUGAAAUGCGUAGAGAUCGGGAGGAACACCAGUGGCGAAGGCAGCCUGCUGGGCUUUAACUGACGCUGAAGCACGAAAGCGUGGGUAGCAAACAGGAUUAGAUACCCGGGUAGUC